UCCUUCUUCGUCACAUCACCAUAUCAGUAUUCAAAAAAAAAAAAAAAAAAAAAAAAAAAAAAAAAAAAAAAAAAAAAAAAAAAAAAAAAAAAAAAAAAAAAAAAAAAAAAAAAAAAAAAAAAAAAAAAAAAAAAAAAAAACGAGAUUAAUGUGAUGGAGAAGGGGAAGAAAGAAAAGAAACAUGGAGCCACUGGAAAGGUCGAGCAAGAAGUUGGUACCAAGUAUUGAAGAGUGUGUAGAGGAAAGUAGAAAGCCGAACAAUCAGUUGCCUGUUCCGUCAUCAGAAC
rnacentral:lncRNA from 1 species